rnacentral:rRNA from 1 species
AGUGAACGCUGGCGGUAGGCCUAACACAUGCAAGUCGAACGGCAGCACAGUAAUAGCUUGCUCUUACGGGUGGCGAGUGGCGGACGGGUGAGGAAUACAUCGGAAUCUACUUUUUCGUGGGGGAUCACGUAGGGAAACUUACGCUAAUACCGCAUACGUCCUACGGGUGAAAGCAUGGGAUCUUCGGACCUUGCGCGAUUGAAUGAGCCGAUGUCGGAUUAGCUAGUUGGCGGGGUAAAGGCCCACCAAGGCGACGAUCCGUAGCUGGUCUGAGAGGAUGAUCAGCCACACUGGAACUGAGACACGGUCCAGACUCCUACGGGAGGCAGCAGUGGGGAAUAUUGGACAAUGGGCGCAAGCCUGAUCCAGCCAUACCGCGUGGGUGAAGAAGGCCUUCGGUUUGUAAAGCCCUUUUGUUGGGAAAGAAAAGCAGCAGGUUGAUACCCCGCUGUUCUGACGGUACCCAAAGAAUAAGCACCGGCUAACUUCGUG